rnacentral:rRNA from 2 species
CAGUUAACUGCGCGUCAUAGUGUGAACUGCAGGACACAUUUGAACAUCGACAUUUCGAACGCACAUUGCGGUCCGUGGAGACACAUCCAGGACCACUCCUGUCUGAGGGCCGGCUGUAUAAAAACUAAUGCCAC